GGCCCGCUAGCUCAACGGUAGAGCAGUUGCCUCUUAAGCAACUGGUUACAGGUUCGAAUCCUGUGCGGGUCACAA
rnacentral:tRNA from 1 species